ACAGCAAGCAAAUUACAAUUUUGAUAUGUUACCAAGCAAGAAGUAUGAAAACAUUGAACAGCCCGAGGCAUCAAGGAAGUUUCCCUGAGAACUAUUAUUGAGUAAGAGGAUGUCGCUCAAGGAUGCUCCUGGGUUGCUCAAGCCAUCAGAAAAGCAAGCAGCUUCCUCACAGCUCAGGGCUCCAGUGGAAUCUGUGGCACAUGAGCUGCUCUCCCUGGCUUGUCCCUGGUCUCCUGAGAAAACCUUUUCCUUUGCUGUGGAACUUCAAAACAGGAAGCAGGGAGGCCUGCUUGUGAAUCAUUGAUGUCAUCAUCAGACAUAGUGUUCUCCUCAGUCUUUCGAAGCAGAAUGGUGGUGAAAUUUUCCUGAAAAGCUAUGCCCCUGCCUGCUGAAUUCUGAACAGCUACCAUAAUAACUUUGCCCCUUGAACUUCAGGCUCCCAUUUGGUUAACAAGCAAGCCCAAGAGACUGCUCAGUCUUUUACUGCUUCGUGCUAAUUGUAUGCUUGGCAGACGCUGUCUUCUCUUGUUGGUGACUGUGGUAGACACACACAAAAAUUGUGUCCCCGGUAGACACCAAAGCUCUGGAACCCGUGAAUCCUACCUUAUUGGGAAAAGGAGCCUUUGAAGGUUAAGUGUCUUGAGAUGAGAUAAUCUUCUAUUAUCUGAGUGGGUCCUAAAUCCAAUGACAGGUGUCCUUACAAGAGAACAGCAGAGGAAGAUUUGAGAUGGAAGAGGUGAAGGCCUUGUGACAAUGGAGGCAGAGAUUGGAGAAGUGCUCCUACAAGCCAAGAAACACCUGCAGCCACCAGAAGCUGGAAGAGGCCAAGAAUGGAUGAUUCUCCCCCUGCGCUUCAGAAGGGAGUGAGGCCCUACAGGCACCUCGACUUUGAACUUCUGACCUCCAGGACUGUGAGAGAAUAAAGUCCUGUUGUUUUACUUUAUUUUUUAAAGUAUUUAUUUAAGUAAAUUCUACACCCAAUGUGGAGCUUGAACUCAUGACCCUGAGAGCAAGAGUCCCACGCUCUCCUGACUGAGCCAGCCAGGCUCCCCUAAAGUUCUGUUGUUGGAAACCAGUCUGUGGGUGACUUGUUAUGGUGCCACAGAAAGCAAAUACACUGGCUUCUUACAAUCCCCUCUUCACCAUUACUGAAGGCUACUGCUCUCUCAGAUAUCUGCUGAGCUGCUCUCCUCUCAUAACCGUCAGGGUUUUUUAACGAAAAUUUAGACCAGCAAAGUGUGGGGCUCAGGCAGUGAUGCAUUUUGAAAACUGCACUGGUGGCUGUGACUUCAGCCUGACUCCAAGGCCACUGCCUCUGGCCUAGGCGAUAGGUCCUGAUCCGUUGCCGGGCCCGGGCUUGGCCUGUCUGGUAGCAGCGAGAUUGCAUGUUUGUCUUAUUUCCUACACUUCUCUAGAAGCUCUUGAGGCCUGUGCUGCUCAGACGUUAGUAUUAAACACACGCGGCUAGGCCCACCUUUAGCACUUUGCAUUCAGUCGGUCCCCAGUGAGGGCUGAGAAUAUGCAUUUUCAGCCAGCUCAGGUGAUGCUGCAGACUUCAGGUUGAGCAAGCCUGUAAGGUAACCAGGACUCUCUGUUUUGUCUUCCUCAUUUUUGAACUUUCAACAGCUUGGAGCAUAAGGCUCUGCUCUCAAUAAUAGUAACGGGAGUCGGAUUAGUUUGAACUGUUAAACCUUUGAGGACAAGGUCCGCAUCUUACACCUUUUUUCUAUGUCUUUAGUGCUCCAUGAGUGCCAGGACACGGCGAGUGCCAGCAGGAGACAUGAAAGGGCAGGUGUGCCAGCAAAACUCCCAUCUGUAAGAGGUGGCAGCACAUCACAGGAAGGGCCCAGGGAUGGCAGAAGCGGCUCCUUCAGAGAAGCAUUGCAUUGUUGGGGACCGUCAUCAAAAAGACGGGACCACCAACUGACCUGUGAGCUGGACCCGGGCACCCCCUCUCCUGCCCUUGGAAUGUGGGUUCCGCUUGCCUUUCCAGCUCCCAGAGGCUGCUCCAAGGACACAGCCUUGAGAGGGUGAUGUGGUGUUGAAAACCACCAGUAUAUACGUGACCGGGCCUGGUGAGGGCCUCAUAGUAACCUUUUAAGAUUUGUAGGGUGGGUGCAGGCGUCCGUUUGUCUUACUGUCACCCAAGAUAAGCCUCGUAUGAAAGGUCCCUUUGCUGUUAUUAAAACUGCCACCUACGCA